UCAUGUGUGUGUGUGGCUGGAGACCAGGGCCUAUGCCCUGUCCAUGACAUUUUUGCUCAAGGCUACCACUCACCACUUGAACCACAGCUCUACUUCUAGAUU